GACGAACGCUGGCGGCGUGCUUAACACAUGCAAGUCGAACGGAAAGGCCCUGCUUUUGUGGGGUGCUCGAGUGGCGAACGGGUGAGUAACACGUGAGUAACCUGCCCUUGACUUUGGGAUAACUUCAGGAAACUGGGGCUACUACCGGAUAGGAGCUCCUGCUGCAUGGUGGGGGUUGGAAAGUUUCGGCGGUUGGGGAUGGACUCGCGGCUUAUCAGCUUGUUGGUGGGGUAGUGGCUUACCAAGGCUUUGACGGGUAGCCGGCCUGAGAGCGCGACCGGGCACAUUGGGACUGAGAUACGGCCCAGACUCCUACGGGAGGCAGCAGUGGGGAAUAUUGCACAAUGGGCGGAAGCCUGAUGCAGCAACGCCGCGUGCGGGAUGACGGCCUUCGGGUUGUAAACCGCUUUCGCCUGUGACGAAGCGGGAGUGACGGUAAUGGGUAAAGAAGCACCGGCUAACUACGUG
rnacentral:rRNA from 1 species